rnacentral:rRNA from 1 species
CCUACGGGAGGCUGCAGUGGGGAAUAUUGCACAAUGGGGGAAACCCUGUUGCAGCAACGCCGCGUGAGCGAUGAAGGCCUUCGGGUUGUAAAGCUGUGUCCUAAGGGAGGAAUACUGACGGUACCUUAGGAGGAAGCCCCGGAUACCUACGUGCCAGCAGCCGCGGUACUACGUAGGGGGCUAGCGUUAGCCGGAAUGACUGGGCGUAAAGGGUGCGUAGGCGGCCAUUCAAGUCAGAGGUGAAAGGCUAUGGCUCAACCGUAGUAAGGCGUUGAAACUGUAGUGCUUGAGUGCAGGAGAGGAGAGUCGAAUUCCCAGUGUAGCGGUGAAUUGCGUAGAGAUUGGGAGGAACACCAGGUGCGAAGGCGGAUCUCUGGACUGUAACUGACGCUGAGGCACGAAAGCGUGGGGAGCGAACAGGAUUAGAUACCCUAGUAGUC